rnacentral:rRNA from 1 species
GAUGAACGCUGGCGGCGUGCCUAAUACAUGCAAGUCGAGCGAACAGAUGAGGAGCUUGCUCCUCUGACGUUAGCUGCGGACGGGUGAGUAACACGUGGAUAACCGACCUAUAAGACUGGGAUAACUUCGGGAAACCGGAGCUAAUACCGGAUAAUAUAUUGAACCGCAUGGUUCAAUAGUGAAAGACGGUUUUGCUGUCGCUUAUAGAUGGAUCCGCGCCGCAGUAGCUAGUUGGUAAGGUAACGGCUUACCAAGGCAACGAUGCGUAGCCGACCUGAGAGGGUGAUCGGCCACACUGGAACUGAGACACGGUCCAGACUCCUACGGGAGGCAGCAGUAGGGAAUCUUCCGCAAUGGGCGAAAGCUUGACGGAGCAACGCCGCGUGAGUGAUGAAGGUCUUCGGAUCGUAAAACUCUGUUAUUAGGGAAGAACAAAUGUGUAAGUAACUAUGCACGUCUUGACGGUACCUAAUCAGAAAGCCACGGCUAACUACGUG